UAUGCGUACUCGAAAAAUAAUUUUAUUUUUAUUUAUUUUAUAUUAUAUAUAUGAAAUCAACAAUCUUUUUCAAGUUAGUUUCAUCUUUGAUUAUCUCGUAUAGUACUGUUGCAACGUUAUUUCAUCAUUUGUUUUCUCUUAUUAGCAAUAUGUGUAUCCGUUAUUGCGUAAUUGAUAAGUACUAUUGGAGCGGAACUUUCCGAAGAGAAUAGAGAAGUAUUGAAUGCCAGAAUCUAUGUACUACUGUGUUUUAUAGCCAUGUGUUUCCAAAGUAGACUGCAGUGGCGUCACUUGGCGACGAAAAUUUCAAACUUGCGGCGCGCUUCAUUUCCAAGAAUCGUCGGAUGACUCAUACGUCGAGUUGUGUGGGCGGUGAACGGGGUAGCCGGAACAUAUCGAACAAGACGCAUGACUCACCAAUCUGAUAUGUCGGAUACUCGCGCCUUAACCUGCUCCCUCUGGAUGGCUAGACGUUCCUCAACCUGUGGUUUCCUCCGCUUAAAAGCAUACAGGUGCCACCUGUGUAACCAAGUGACCAAGAUACACAAGGAAGCUAGGUUAGAUUUAAACAUCUAAUGGGAAUAAUAGCAAAAAGAAGAGGUUAUCGUAAUUUAACAUACAAUUUUUCUUCAUCGUGACAUACACAUUACACAGGCAUAAAAUUAAAGGAUUAAAAACUAAGAUAAGAUGUUGUUUUAAUUAAUUUUAGGUUAUGAUCUAAUUAAUAUUAAAAGAUUCUAAUUGAGUUUAUUAUUACUAUUAUCUAUCUUCUGGAUAUGAUAUUAUCUUUUAUAUUUUCUAAUAAUUAUUUACAUAAUCAUUAUUUUUAAUCAAAUUAUAUCUAUUUAGCAAUAUUAUACUUCAAAAGAUACGUCUCAUUACGGGCAUGAAGCACAAGGGAUUGACAUUCACCUGCUUAGCUUCACACCAUGAUGAAAUUCGAAUAGACAGGCGGUCGUCGUCCUUGAGCUAACUUCUGCCUAUAGCCAAGGCCUCGACUUAGCAGCACAUUUGAAACGUUACCCGAUUGGAAAAAUUACGACGCCAAAGAAUGUCAUUGCCAUUUUAUAAAUCGGUGCCGCGAGAGUAAUCUGCCUCAUAUGUGCUCAGAGAAUAUACAAGUUUUGUUGUUUUGUCCGUUUCAUAUUUGCUUGUUUUUCAUUAAAAUGUAGGUUAAGUCUCGUUCAUAAUGAUUUCGAGGUUAACGAAUCAUUUAUUGAUUUUAGUAAAAAAAAGACAGAAGGCUCAUCCAUCAUGCAAUAUAUAUAUAAUAAAAUUAAUAAAAUUCUUGAUAUUAACAUAUGCGCAUUUAAUAAUUGAAAUGACGAUUGGUUUAUUGGUGCAACUAGCUCAAGUUUCUUUUCUUAUCUUAUCUUUAUGUGUAAUACAGAUAAAAAACUAGCUAUUUUAGCAGUUGCCAAUAAUAAUGAUUGCGAAUCGACGAAUACAAAAACAUAUUAUUUGAUUAUUAUUAUUUAUAUUGAUUUUUUAUUUUGUUUCUCUUUUUUUUCGAUGCAAUAUAUAUAUUUUUUUUGUUUUCUUGAUUCAAUUAUCCUGAUUCUUGAUAUACAAGAUAAUACCAGUUUAUAUAUAUAUAUAUAUAUAAAAUACUUAAUGAUAAGUUAUCAAUCGAAUAUAAUCUUUCAAAAUCUAAUUGCAUCUAGAAUAACAAUUCUUGCAAAUACGAAAUACGACAAAAGAAAAAAUGAGCCGCUACCAUUAUUCAUUAUUCUAUAUUCAUACACUCAUUAGUAUCGCUGUAUUCCUUCCGUGGCGAUACACAAAUCUAAGAUAACAUCAUGAGGCUGCUGACAUCACGGAAUUUUGAAACAAAGAAGGAAAAAUUUAAUCGUAAAAAUGCCAUCGAACAAUUUGCAAGCAAUACAAUGAGAGAUCAUGAAAUCGAGCACGUUUGGACUCUGCUCUCAGUUGCAGCUGUGGCGGGCAAGUUCGAACAACACAAUCGUGGAAGUUGCGCGAAAUGAGUCAAUACUCGCUCCCUCUUGCAAAACGCACGUGCGUUUCGGUUCGCUUGUGCUGUUUGCAAACGUUGGAGAUAAAACGUAUUGGUCGAGAAGAUACAUCGCCAAUAAGCACGCGUGUUAAUAAAUUUGAUCGAUGGCCGGGCAAACAAGCGAUUAUAUGCAACUUUCAUCCUAUAUAUGUAUGAAUAAUAUCGAUCAAUAUAAUUUUUAAUAAUAAUAAUUAUAUGCAAUAUAAUUAUAUAUAUAUAUGGAUUAACAAAGAAAUAUUUCUCUUUUGUUAUUUAUUUUUUUCAGAUUUAAGUUUAUCAAAUAGACGAAUUUAUUGGAGAGAAUAUAAUAACAGUUUUCGUUACCAAUAACAACAGGCAGGAAGACAAAGUUGAAAUUGCUUUAUCGUAGUUUGAUAUUUAUUCUCUUUUGUGCUUACCAAGGUUGACGACUAGGAGGAAGGUAAUGGAGUAAAGUAACCGAUAAAAAAACGGAACAAAGGCAUUGUUUUUCCCUGAGAAAUCAAUUUCAUUGGAAAUACCGCCAAGAAUAUAAAUUGCGAAGGACGAUUAUAUUUAUUAGGGAAUAUGUUCAUUUUAUUGAUGCAAACAAAUAAUACAUAAUAUGAAAUAAUAAUAUAUGAUAUAAAUAAUAAAAUAAAUAUAAAAAAUAUAUAAUAUAAAAGUUAAAUGUUAUGUAGUUUUAAUAUUGAUUUUUUUACUAGGUUGUAAAUUAUCAAAUGAAAAGCGAAAAAUUUCGUAGAUCGUUAAAUAAAAUAAUUUCGUAGAAUUGCAGUCAACAUUUUCUGAAGUGGCAAACAGAUGUGUUUGUGCACGUUGCAUUGUGGGCAACGAUGCGUGGGCGUAAACAGUCGGGUGCCAGCAUGGAAUUAUAAAUUUUAAGGUGGCGAGUUUCGUUAAUCUCUUUUGGUAUUCACAUAUGGCGAAAGUAGAAAAACAAUAAUAUGUAUGAUUCUUCAUGUAUAUUCGGCGAGAUAUUUAGCUCAAGUAACUAUUGUAUGUAAAAUAGUGGAAUCUUGAUAAUAAUUCUCAAGCUUUUUAAAGAAGAAUUUUAUUCGUGUCGUUAACCUCGUUGUAAGAAUAAAAAAAAAUGAAUUUCUGUUCAUGUUUGAAAUACAUAUUUAAUUUUAUAUAUUGAUCAUAUCAUUUACAUACAUUAACUUAUAACAAUGCACUAACUUAUUUGAUAUAAUUAAUAAGCAAGGCAAAGAUUACAAUUUCUGCGUUACGUUUGCAGUUCUACAAAAUUGUUAAGUAUCACUCUAAUCGUGAAAAAGAAAUUUCAUGCUGCGUUAUAUGUUACGAUUAUCGUUGCAAUUAGUCAUAUCACUAUCAGGAAUGAGUAAGAUUUAAGCAUGCAGGAAAUGUUUUGGUAGACUUAUAGUCUUUGUGUAUGAGUAGUCCUACGAGGGAUACCGACGCUUAAAUGCCACGAGAUAAGAAGUAGUUCAACAUGCGUUACAUUGUGAUUGCAAUUUUUCUAAGCUGCUCUGUCAGAUAAACCAGAAAUUUAACAACGGUCGAGAUAAUA